rnacentral:lncRNA from 1 species
UGAUCUGCAAAUAGAAAAACGUGAAGAUAAGCUUAAUUAAGUAUUUAAAAUUGAAUUAAAUAGACUAGUCAAGAAGCCACUCAACGGAUUAACACGUUAUCUUAAAAAUGUUUCCGUUUUCUGAUGCUAGAAGGAAACGUUAAUUUUGACAUCAAACCAAAGGCUUAAUUAAUACCUCAAACGAUCUAAACGCUUGGGAAAUUGUACAAAAUACUAGAAGAAGUCACAUAAACACAUACUCUACUUCUCAGUAUACUAUUUUUAUUCUCAAAAAUUGGACGUUAUUUCGAAAAUUUCAACUUAAAGAGGAUCAUUUUAAUAGAAAAGAGUUGGACAGAUUCUCGGGAGACAAACGGAAAUGAAUGUUUAGUUUUGACAUCAACGACUCGAUGGGGGAAGAUAUUGACCCUUAUUUAAUUAUUCAAGCCAACUUUAACUUUUCAAAUGUUAUUGGACAGACGGAAGGAUUUUAUUAUUCAGCAUUAAUUCCAUAUAAUAAAAGAUAAAUUUCAUGUUUACGUAUGAAGAAUAU